GUGGGGAAUAUUGGACAAUGGGGGGAACCCUGAUCCAGCCAUGCCGCGUGUGUGAAGAAGGCCUUUUGGUUGUAAAGCACUUUAAGCGAGGAGGAGGCUACCGAGAUUAAUACUCUUGGAUAGUGGACGUUACUCGCAGAAUAAGCACCGGCUAACUCUGUGCCAGCAGCCGCGGUAAUACAGAGGGUGCAAGCGUUAAUCGGAUUUACUGGGCGUAAAGCGCGCGUAGGUGGCCAAUUAAGUCAAAUGUGAAAUCCCCGAGCUUAACUUGGGAAGUGCAUUCGAUACUGGUUGGCUAGAGUAUGGGAGAGGAUGGUAGAAUUCCAGGUGUAGCGGUGAAAUGCGUAGAGAUCUGGAGGAAUACCGAUGGCGAAGGCACUCUGCUGGGCCAAUACUAACACUGAGAGACGAAAGCGAGGGGAGCAAAUGGGAUUAGAAACCCCGGUAGUCC
rnacentral:rRNA from 1 species